rnacentral:rRNA from 1 species
GCGCAAGGACUUGUCCUUGCGUCGUGACUGCGUGCCUUUUGAAGAAUGAGCCUGCGAGUUUGCGGUGUGUUGCGAGGUUAACCCGUGUGGGGAAGCCGUAGCGAAAGCGAGUCCGAAUAGGGCGCUGUAGUAGCACGCUCAAGACCCGAAGCGGAGUGAUCUAGCCAUGGGCAGGUUGAAGCGGCUGUAAGAGGUCGUGGAGGACCGAACCC